UCUUGAUUAUUUAAGUGUUCAGCUGCAUCAUCAAUUAAAACCUGAUCAGAGGCUUGGUCACUGAUCUCAUUUCAAUUAGUGGUAAUUGAGUAGGCCUAUUUAUAGACUACUGAAAGAGUUGUGAGACCAAGGUUAGUCCAGCUUCCUGGUUGUAGGCUACCACUUUUAUAAAAAUGAGGCUUAAACCAAACAGGGGUGUUGGUUUGUUUUUGUGUCUUGUAUUGCUUUACAUUGGCCAAACAUGUGGUAUAAGCCUCGAAAUAGUGCAAAGAGACGAGCUGCAUCGUAAGGAAAGGUCCGAGAACAUUCACACUGGGACAAUUACUUUCGGCACAGGGAAUAUUUCACUGGGUCGAAAUCUGGAAUAUGAGGGACGAUCUGUUGGAGAAAACACUGCAGACGAUGGCUCCGUUAACUUUCAAGCAGACGAUCCACAUCCUGGCCUGGUGGGUGGACAAAGCACCACUGAAGACUUUAAGGCUUGGCAUCGUAUGCAACCAAAUUUAUUAUGUACUAAUGACCUCAUGGAGUUCUCUGCAAAAGGCCCUGGAUGUUCUUCACUCCAGUUAGACAGAGGUGGCACGCCUCUCUCACUAAGCCAGCUACCAGGAGACUGUGGCUACUCUGUGAAAAGGACUGCAGUGGGCCUUGUGUUUGUCGCCCCAUUUGAUGGUUGUGAUGUUAUAAAACAGG